rnacentral:misc_RNA from 1 species
CUCAAAAGGGGCACAUUUUUCAAAACCACCAAUUUCUGUCUCGUUGUCGUUGAUUGGUUUAAUAAAUUUUAUUACAGAACGGUAAUGUGUCGGUAGAUAAGAUUUAUAUAUUCCCUAUAAAUACACACUUGACUUUGUCCCGCAUCAAUAGCUGCACAGGCCUUCAAGGUUAAACAAAAGUAGAAAUAAUCUCGGUUGGAUUUUGCAGUAAUGGCAGAUGAAGUAGUUCUUCUGGAAACCCAAUUCAGUCCUUUUGCAGCCAGGGUUAGAAUCGCCUUGGCUGAGAAGGGAAUUCUGUACGAGGCAAGGGAAGAAGAUGUCACUAACAAGAGCUCUCUUCUUUUGCAGAUGAACCCAGUUAAUAAACAAAUCCCUGUCUUGAUCCAUAAUGGCAGGCCCAUUUGCGAGUCAUUGAUCAUCGUCCAAUAUAUUGAUGAGGUUUGGAAUCAUAAAUCUCUCUUUUUGCCUUCUGAUCCUUACCAACGAGCUCAUGCCAGGUUCUGGGCUGAUUAUGUCGACAAGAAAAUUUACCCAAUUGGGAAGAUGCUAUGGUCCUGCAUAGGUGAAGUCAAAGAAGCAUCCAAGAAGGACUUGAUCGAGUGCUUCAAAAUUUUGGAAGGAGAGCUUGGAGAGAAGCCAUAUUUUGGAGGUGAGGGAUUCGGUUUCAUAGAUGUGGCAUUGAUUCCUUUCUAUAGCUUGUUUUACACGUUCGAGACCCUGGGAAACUUUAGCAUGGCUGUGGAGUGCCCUAAGCUUCUGGAAUGGGCUAAGAGAUGCUUGCAGAAAGAAAGUGUGGCCGAGAGUAUAUACGAUGAACACAAAAGUUAUGAAACGGCUUUGUUCAUGAAAAAGAAAUUGGGGUUUUGAGUAAAUUCAAGUGGAAAUUCAACUGCUUUUCAUUUCUUGUCCUUGUUUUCUCUUCUUGUUAUAAUUAGCAGGUAAUUUUACAGUUUUGGUUUUUAGUCAAUGCAUCCUAGUAAAUCAAUCUCUUACUAGAUCUUGCUACCUAAUUUUGUGGAAAGUCUCAGUAGAUCUACAAGGAAUUUGUACAGAUGGCUCAUUUCCAUUAUAGCAUUUGUUGAACUAUUAUUUGACAAUAUUGCUUCUAAUCUGGAUACUACAUUUACAAGGUAACAACAGAAUUCCAUCCAAGUUCUUGAAAAUUCAAAUUCUAAAGAACAAAAUCGCAAAAGCCAGUGUGGGGGAAGCUUAACAGUUAAUACAGUUUUCCUUCUCUCAUGCCACCUUUGAACAGUUGACCCUGACCUGACCAUCUGAACCUGUCAAGACAUGGAGAUUUGAGGGCUUCACCAUUGCUCGUGCGAAGUCUUGGCGGAACUGAGAGACAUCUGAAGUGUAUGCAUUCACCAUUUCGCAUUCUCAGUUUCUUCCCCAGACGUCAGUUGUUGAUCAGAAACUAGGAUUCCUCUACCUCGUAGAAGACUGCGGUAGUAUACCCUGCCAAAAUCUACUCCAGGUCCCUCAUAAGCCAUAUUGAUUCCUGGAUCCUCAAUUGAGGACAGUCGUGAGCUUUACAAGUAAAGUGUUUGGGCAAGCAUUGUGCCCCUCCUUGGCUUCCCAGAAGUUGAAGAUAGUGAUCUCUUACAGGAAGGUUAUAAUGCUUUUGAUGAUAACUUUUUGCAGUCAAACGAACCUGAACUUGUUGUUGAUGAUAAUGAUGAUGCUGACGCUGAAGCAGGACUGUUGUUGCACAUUAACCUCAAUAAGUUAAGGAAUUGACCAAGAGACUGACAGUUUCUCUUUCAUGAAAGCCCUUAGAUGCAAAAGAUGCAAGGGUUUCAGGUAGAUGAGCUUGGGGUGAAGGAAGCUCAGAUGUCGCCUUAUCUGGGAAAGAACGGGUAGCAUCUCUUCUGCCAGUGAACACUGGAUAGAAUGGACCACCAGUCUGAACAACACCUUCUCUGGCUGCUAAAACAACAAUAUCAGCACAAGAAACAACUCCAGGACAUACUUCUUCAAGGUGUGACUUGAUUAUGUCAAUUAUAUCAAAUCCUUUCAGAUUCAGAUUGGGGGUAGAUUCUUUCUCGGAUUUCAAGCCUCCAGCAGUAUCCAAUAGAAUAGAAGCAUCACAGCCCUCAACGAAACAAUCAUGGAAAGCAAGCCUCAAGAGAGCUGGAGCGACACUGGACCUGACUCUGUAAAUAUCCCAAACCAAAUCUCGAACAAUUUUCUCAGCUUGUGGGCAGGAAUCACGGUAAAAAUCAUACUCCAGUGAGCGUCGAGAAUGGAAUUCUUGCUCAUCCUCCACAGACAAUAAUACCGAAGGGCACAAAUUUCGGGAAGAAGGAGACCAGUUUAUGGCGAUGGGGGAAGACGAAGAACAUUUCUUGGUCUCUGCAUUUUGGUUCUUGAGAGAGAUCAAAAUACAGAGAAGGAAAAUGAGAAAGCUAAGUUUCAUCAUAACUUCAAAGAUUAAACUCAGCAUAUCUCUUGCUUCAAUUAUCUUUAAAUCUAUUGAUUUGUCUAUUCGCUUUUGGGGGUUGUGUUACCGGAGCGGCAACAGCAGCAGCAGCGGCGGAUUUCAACGAAAUUAUGGGAAGUGGCGGGAAAAGGGACGCGAGAUGACUAAAAUGCCACUGUAACUUAUAGAUUGUUGGGGAUAACUUGUAAUAGGACAAUAAUGCCCUUAUUAGCUAAUUUCGG